AAGCACCGAGCACCGAGCACCUCAAGUAAUUCUCUGCUGAAACCUUAUUCAUUACUGCUCUGCUCCUAUUUCAUUUGUUCUGUGCACACUGCACACUGCACACUGCACACUGCACACUGUUGUAGUUGUCACGGCCACAUCCAUCUUUAACCGCAGAAGGCCCCCUGUGCUUUGCCUGUCUGUUAGAUACAUGCAGACUCCCCUCCUCCGCGCCCUUCUUCCCCUAAAUUCUCUAUAACUUCAUUUUUAUCCUCCUCUCUCAUUUCCAACCUUCUUUUUUCCUAAUCAUGUGUAAGUUUAAUUUUUUAUUUGUAAUUAUUUUUUUAUUAUUAUUUUUAUUUAUUAUUUUUUUGUUUUAUUCUGCAGGUUAGUUCAUUAAAUAUAAUUUUGCAUCUUGUUGCAAAUUAGUUAUAAGCAAGGAGUCUCGGGGUCGCCAACACUUGAUGCCAAUCCACUUGCACCCAACGUGGAUGAGACAAAGAGUCUCUGAGUCAAUCAUGCAUGCUGUAGAUAAACAUAUGCUCGACAUUAUUCAGGGUUAACGAUUUCGAAUGAGGAGGGUUAUGUUCCUUCAAAUUGUUCAAGCCUUGGACAAUCACGAUGAGUACUUUCAAAUGAGAGUUAAUGCAACUAGAAGAACAGGUGUUUCUCCAUUGCAAAAUGCACUAGUAUUAUUCGUAUAUUAGCAUAUGGAUCAUCACCUACUAAUAGUGUUGAUGAUGAUAUGCGAAUUGGGAAAACACUGUAAUGAAAUACUUGAGUAGAAUACUUAAGAAGACCUAACAAUAAUGACAUUCAACGUCUACUUCAAAUGAGAUAGAGAUGUGGUUUUCCAAGUAUAUAUGUUUGGUAGUAUAGAUUGUAUGCAUGGAGAAUGGAAAAUUUCUUCAAUGGCAUGGAAAUGUCAAUAUUGUCGCGGUGAUCAUGGAAAACCUUCAAUCAUACUUGAAGUAAUGGCAUCACAAAACAUAUGGAUAUGACAUGCAUUUUUGGAGUUACGGGUUCAAAUAUUAAUGUCAUUAAUGUGUUCAAUGAAUAUCUUGUGUUUGAUGAGUUUUUGGAAGGACAAACCCUAAGGGUGCAAUAUAUGGUAAACAAGAUC